CCACCUACGGGGGGCAGCAGUGAGGGAUAUUGGUCAAUGGGGGAAACCCUGAACCAGCAACGCCGCGUGAGGGAAGACGGUUUUCGGAUUGUAAACCUCUGUCCUCUGUGAAGAUAAUGACGGUAGCAGAGGAGGAAGCUCCGGCUAACUACGUGCCAGCAGCCGCGGUAAUACGUAGGGAGCGAGCGUUGUCCGGAUUUAUUGGGUUUAAAGGGUGCGCAGGCGGCCUGUUAAGUCAGCGGUAAAAGCCCGGGGCUCAACCCCGGCGAGCCGUUGAAACUGGCGGGCUGGAGUUGGAGAGAAGU
rnacentral:rRNA from 1 species